AGAGUACUCGCUUUUAAGUGCG
rnacentral:tRNA from 1 species